rnacentral:rRNA from 1 species
CUACGGGCUACACCAGUGGGGAAUAUUGCACAAUGGAGGAAACUCUGAUGCAGCAACGCCGCGUGGAGGAUGACACUUUUCGGAGCGUAAACUCCUUUUAUAUAGGAAGAUAAUGACGGUACUAUAUGAAUAAGCACCGGCUAACUCCGUGCCAGCAGCCGCGGUAAUACGGAGGGUGCAAGCGUUACUCGGAAUCACUGGGCGUAAAGAGCGUGUAGGCGGGUUAAUAAGUCAGAAGUGAAAUCCUAUGGCUCAACCAUAGAACUGCUUUUGAAACUGUUAACCUAGAGUGUGGGAGAGGUAGAUGGAAUUUCUGGUGUAGGGGUAAAAUCCGUAGAGAUCAGAAGGAAUACCGAUUGCGAAGGCGAUCUACUGGAACAUAACUGACGCUGAGACGCGAAAGCGUGGGGAGCAAACAGGAUUAGAUACCCGAGUAGUC